AGGGCGGGGCGGGGUCUCGGCGGCGCCCUGGAGACCCGAAACCGGGGUGGGGGCGGGGAGGAGGAGGGGCCCGGCCCGCCUAGUCCCGCUUCCAGACGAGAGGGUCCGGAGCGCCCCGCCUUCCGGGCCCGGGGUCCUGAACCGCGGACAGGCUGCGUGGGGCCGGGGCUCUGAGACGCGACUCGACGCGCCUCCCUCUCCCCGGUCGAGGCCUUGGGUGCCCGCCGACCGUGGGCUGCUUCUUCCAUCCCGGGACCCACGCCAGUUCCCUGGACUCUGCCGGCCCCACCUUCUGUCUGUAAGAACGGGGAGUGGUCUGGACCACGUCGCUGCCCCCUCCCCCAGGCUGGGCUGUCAUCACCGUUGGCGACCCGCCUUCGGGGCCUUUAUAGCCGGAGGCCUUAGCCCUGCAAGGUCCUCCGCCACAGAGCGCAUUGAGUGUCAGGGCUUGGGGGCGGAACCCACCAGGGCAUCUACCAUUUUGCUUGUGAAGUUACCUGGGUAUGCGUAGCUCUUUGCUUGGCAAUGUGAGUGUUUAGUUUUUUAAUUCAUUGCUACGCUCAGGAAUUCUUACAAAGUGUGGGGGGUAUUUUCCUAGUGUGAUGAAAUGACUUUGGAAGUUACACUUAACAGCGGAUGGAGCACAGCGGAUGGAGCUGACAUCGUGCGGUGCUACAUGCACGUUUAACGAAGCCUUUGGAUUUUCCUGUUUACUUCUUUUGGAGCCACUAACAUGUUUUGUUUUGUUUUGUUUUGUUGCCUGAAGAGCCUGCAGCCUGGUGCCUGUGGGGCUGGAGGGCAGCUGGGCCCCUGUAAGGCCCGCGGUGGAGGUGGGUUAGGACGCGGCCCCAAACGGGUAUAUCCACUCUGUGCCCGGCCGUGCAGUUUUCUCUCCCAAGGACGCAAGGCGCAGAAGCCGCUGGGGAAGACAGUCCAGAGUCUGCUGGGUUGACACGGGGUGAAAACGUAAUUGAAAAUCUUGAGCAAAAGUGGGAUUGUUUUUGCUUUGAGGGAAGCAGCGUCGGACGCUGUGGGAAGCCUGGCGCCCCAGGCCCACCUCGAGUAUGGGGGAGAGAGAGGUCUUUGUGGUCUCGUGGUAUGCUUUUCAUUAAAAUGGCAAGAUCCGUACUGUCAGAUUAGGAACGACUGUCUGCUAGUCUUUCAGAAGUUGCUGGAAGUUACGCUCUCUGUGUGUUAAACGUUAUGUCUAGACUCGCAGCUCGUUCGCUUGAUGUUCGCUCAGCUCUGCCCACGCUGGCUGUCCAUCUCCCGGAACUGCAUUUCCAGGUUACACACAAAAUGCAGCCUGAACUCCUGGAGGCCUUAAAGACUGGGUGUGUAGGAGCCAGGUUCCUGCUAAAAGUCAGCCAACGAAAGCCACCCCCCAUAAAUGCCUGACCGCAGCCUCUGAAGGGAGCCGAGGGAUCUCCCCCAUCCUGGCUCUCCCCCGAAGCUGUAGCCUGGCUUUGCUCCAUUGUCCAUCCAAGGGCAGGAACGGAUGGACAGCCUGUGAAAAGGUAAAAUGAGUAAAUAUCUCAGGACUUUCUGCUUCCAGAAACGAAUUUGAUCUCUGUAAACACGGUUCCUGUCGCAGGGCAGUUAAACCAGGCCUCCUGCUGUCUACAGGCCAGAGGGGGUCCUGCCCGCCCCCCCUCCUCUUGCAGGUGUGGGCCUUGCAGAGAGGCUGUCCUUGCUGGCCGUGACCCCCGUCCAGAGGAGAUGAGAAGUUGAUCACAGCACGGCCUCGGGAGAGCCAGGAGUCCUGCCGUCAUCCAGGCUGAGGUUCUGGGGGACCUUGAGAGGGUUUUAUAGGCUGGUCAUCACAGCACGGCCUCGGGAGAGCCAGGAGUCCUGCCGUCAUCCAGGCUGAAGCGCUGGGUGGUCAUCUGCUCCCUGGCUUUGGCACCCCAAUCUGUGUUUCGUGUGUCUUUUGGCUUUUCAAGUGCACGGUGGCACGUAACACACGUUCAUUUGAAUCCUUGGGUUACGAGAGAAGCAGAAUAGAAGUUAAGUCUUCUGGUCACCGAUGCCCCCGGCCCGCUGAGCGUGCAGCCGUGCUCAGAGUUUUUUGUUCUGAAGCUGGUCUCUGACAAGGGCCAGUGUCUCCAGCCCAGGUGGGGAGCAGGUCCUGCCGGCAGCCAAGGCCACAGGCUUUGAAACGGUUGAUGUGGAAGACCUUUCCCAGAGCCCUGGCCUGUCCGCAAGGGCCACCGUCCCUCGGUGGCACAGCCUGGGCCGUGGCCGUGGCGACCCCCCCACCCCUCGAAACCCUCACCUCUUCCUCUGUAACCCAGGAGCUGGGCUCCAGCGGGGUCCGCGUGUGUUUCUGGCCAAGAGCGUCUGACGGUUUCGUCAUAAUGUCCAAGACCCACGUGGAAGGGGACCAGGGGGUGAUGGGCUGGGAAGGGGAGAGACGUGGGCCAGGGAAAGGACGCCCUUCCUCCCAGGUGCUGUGUGGUGGUAGAGCCCAGGGCUGCAGGCGGGGCGGCGCUGGGCAGGAUUCUUGGGGGCUCCAUCUCACUGGUUCUGGGACCCACUGGGGUUGAGCGUUUCCUUGUGCUGUGCGUGUUGACAGCAGACCACGGUGGCCCUGGCGGGCGGGGGCGGGGCCAGGCUCUCAUGUACUGUACGGGGACCUCUCACAGCGUCACCUCACGUGGAUCUACCCUGGGGGCGGUAAUGAAGCGCGGAGGCUGUAUUUUGUGAUCUGGUAUCUGUUUCAGCGUGGGCCCCUGUGCUUGUGUAUCCUGGUUCAGGCAUUUGGAAACGUCUGGUGUCUGCAGCAUCUGGAUGGAGGAGCUGUGCCCUGCUCUGAACGGCCGCUCAGCCCGGGGCAGCCGCUGUCCCUGUCCUCCAGGAGCUCACUUACCUCCGGCCGUGCGCUCCUUGAGGCCAGAGCCCGUGUCUGCCUCAGCACCGGCACUGGCAGCAGCAGCGGCAGCUCUGCAGGGCACCGGGCCCGUCACCCACGGCCCACAGCGCUCGCAGCGUCCCUGCUUGCCCGGCCCAGCCGCUCGCUGGGUUGAUCAGAGCAGCGUCCUGCGUUGUGUGCAUGCUUUCUGAAGUUGUUUGGAAUUGGGUUGGUUUUUUUUGGCGGAGCUGCGAGGCUUGUGGGAUCUCAGUCCCCUGACCGGGGAUUGAACCCGGGCCGCAGCAAUGAAAGCCCGGAAUCCUAACCGCUAGGCCACCAGGGAACUCCCUGGAAUUGGUCUAGUUUUAAUCAGAGUACUGCAAAUAAAAUGAGGAGGAUA